rnacentral:rRNA from 1 species
GACGAACGCUGGCGGCGUGCUUAACACAUGCAAGUCGAACGGAAAGGCCCUGCUUUUGUGGGGUGCUCGAGUGGCGAACGGGUGAGUAACACGUGAGUAACCUGCCCUUGACUUUGGGAUAACUUCAGGAAACUGGGGCUAAUACCGGAUAGGAGCUCCUGCUGCAUGGUGGGGGUUGGAAAGUUUCGGCGGUUGGGGAUGGACUCGCGGCUUAUCAGCUUGUUGGUGGGGUAGUGGCUUACCAAGGCUUUGACGGGUAGCCGGCCUGAGAGGGUGACCGGCCACAUUGGGACUGAGAUACGGCCCAGACUCCUACGGGAGGCAGCAGUGGGGAAUAUUGCACAAUGGGCGGAAGCCUGAUGCAGCAACGCCGCGGGCGGGAUGACGGCCUUCGGGUUGUAAACCGCUUUCGCCUGUGACGAAGCGUGAGUGACGGUAAUGGGUAAAGAAGCACCGGCUAACUACGUG